CCUACGGGAGGCAGCAGUGAGGAAUAUUGGUCAAUGGGCGCUAGCCUGAACCAGCCAAGUAGCGUGAAGGAUGAAUGCCCUAUGGGUUGUAAACUUCUUUUAUAUGGGAAUAAAGUGCAGUAUGUAUACUGCUUUGCAUGUACCUUAUGAAUAAGGCUCGGCUAACUCCGUGCCAGCAGCCGCGGUAAUACGGAGGAUCCGAGCGUUAUCCGGAUUUAUUGGGUUUAAAGGGAGCGUAGGCGGGUUGUUAAGUCAGUUGUGAAAGUUUGCGGCUCAACCGUAAAAUUGCAGUUGAUACUGGCAGCCUUGAGUACAGUAGAGGUAGGCGGAAUUCGUGGUGUAGCGGUGAAAUGCUUAGAUAUCACGAAGAACUCCGAUUGCGAAGGCAGCCUGCUGGACUGUAACUGACGCUGAUGCUCGAAAGUGUGGGUAUCAAACAGGAUUAGAUACCCUUGUAGUC
rnacentral:rRNA from 1 species